rnacentral:sRNA from 1 species
CCCUAGCCCGGAUGGAAGCGGCAUCCUUUUGUUUUUUGCUGCCAAAAAACAAAAGAUACAGCAGACAGCCGGAUUGGCU